AGGCAGUGGGAUUUGCCAAAUUCUAUUGACAUUCAACCAUAGAAGAAGUUAGGUUCAAUUAUAAAUGUUGGCAAACAAACACCAACAGCUUGUUUAAUAUUAAUCAAUUCCAUAAAAUUUAUGGAAAAUGUAUAAUUAUUCCCAUUCAAAAUUUCUUAAAUGCGUCCCAUUUUAAUUUUUUUGUUUGAUAAAAUUACUAGUAAGUAACUCAAAGCAACUACCAAAAGCUCCUCUUCUAGUGCUUAAACCCUGAAUUGCCAAUCAAUGCACCCACAAAUAGGCAAUUUAAAAAAUAACCAUCGUCAAAAAAAAAAAAAAAACUCCAAUAAUGAAAUCUUCACAAUCCAUAACUAGCGAAGCUCUCCAAGUUAACCAUUAUAAGUUCGUGAUGAAGUUCUAAAAGACUGCAUGAUAAAACUUCCUCAAUUCUAAUUGUAGAUAUAACACUUUCAACUUCAUAGUAUUUCCACUGGCACUGCCAGAAGAUUACAACAGGGCAGAGUUUCCCCAAAAUCUAUUGGACAUUCCAGUUUCUCACAGUCCAGAAUAACCAAAGGAACAGCCAUUAAUUAGUGCUAAAAGAGUUUCAUCAAGCCAUAAUUUAUGUUUCUUCUAGAUCCUUGGAAGGGCACAUACCAAAUUCCACCAGUUCUAGAACAUCAGGAAACCUUCAACAGCGUCAAUAUUCUUUUUCCCCAAAAGCGCGCACACACACAGGCACACAUAGUUGCCAACUCAUUUAAAUGAAACUUCUUGACCAAGAGUCUAGCAUUUGACAAGAACAAGACAUGUUGAAUUUACCAUACACAUGAUGAAACAAUUGAUUGUAUGGGGUUUGCAUCAACCAAAACACAUCAGAAAUUCUUCUUGUGUUGUUACGCCUUUAAAACAAUAGUAUCAUACUAGAAUAUGCAGCACAGUUUUAUAAUGAAAAACUAAGUUAACUAUAAAGAAAAAUGUAAAUUAUCAAGAAAGGCUAACCUUCCCAGCAAUAUCAGGUGCUGA
rnacentral:misc_RNA from 1 species